CCAACUGUUCCACCGGUUGUACCCUAGGGAGUGGUGCGGUGAGGUAACAAGCCGUAUAGAGCCUCCUGACAAUGUACCGAAACCCAAUUUAUCUGUGAAGAGCGAUUGGUACUGGCAGCAUCAAGCUGGUAGAGGGC
rfam:Legionella drancourtii LLAP12 genomic scaffold scf_37, whole genome shotgun sequence.